UACACACCGCCCGUCACACCACGAAAGUGGUCAUAACCAGAAGCAGGUGCGCCAACCGCGAAGGGGGCAGCCUACCAAGGUUGUGGCCGUGAUUGGGGUG
rnacentral:rRNA from 1 species